rnacentral:rRNA from 3 species
UGGGGGAUAUUGCACAAUGGGCGAAAGCCUGAUGCAGCGACGCCGCGUGGGGGAUGAAGGCUUUCGGGUUGUAAACCUCUUUCGCUAUCGAACAAGGCCCGCUUAGGGUGGGUUGAAGGUAGGUGGAGAAGAAGCGCCGGCUAACUACGUGCCAGCAGCCGCGGUAAUACGUAGGGCGCGAGCGUUGUCCGGAAUUAUUGGGCGUAAAGGGCUUGUAGGCGGCUUGUUGCGCCUGCUGUGAAAACGCGGGGCUUAACUUCGCGCGUGCAGUGGGUACGGGCAGGCUUGAGUGUGGUAGGGGUGACUGGAAUUCCAGGUGUAGCGGUGGAAUGCGCAGAUAUCUGGAGGAACACCGAUGGCGAAGGCAGGUCACUGGGCCAUUACUGACGCUGAGGAGCGAAAGCAUGGGUAGCGAACAGG